ACCAUUUUGCCCCUCAGUGUGAUUUAAUCGUAUUUUCUUCGUUAUAGCUCUAAUUCGAGUCCACUACGUGUCUAUGGACUCGUUUCGAUGCGAUCUACGCAAUGGCACAAGCGAAUUUCCUAAAUUCCUUCUGGUCGAAAAGUCAUCAUUUUUUCCAAUAAUUUAUUACAGGGGCAAAAUUGUCUUUUACUCUCACUUUGCAAAUAUUAAUCACAAAUACUCACUUCCUCGUGUGAAAGUACUAAACUGCCCUUCAUAUAAAUAGAUAUUAUAUUGACCAUUUAUCCUUCUCUGAAACCCAAUUGCUCCCAACUCUUUCUUCCUCUCUCGCAGUCCUCUGUCGUCCCCAUCACACAUCUAGAACGGCAAAUCAAUUCAUAGCAUUAUAGCGCAUCUGGAAGAAAGGCAUAACGUAAGAAGGUCGUUUUCAAAAUUUCUAGAGAAUGGUUAUCUAGGUGAGUGUGGAGCUAAAGUUGCAGAGCUAUCAAAUUUGGUCGUCAAGUAAGUGAUUAAUGUUUAGGAUAUUACGAAUUUCCGUAGUUUCAGAGUAAUCGAUGACAAUUGAUACGGAAAACUAUAUUUAAAUUCUCAAUUUUCAUUUGCUUGCAUUGGUUUUAUGGAUGUGGCAAGUUAACUUCGUAUGAUAUAGAAACCAAGGGCAAUAAGAAGGCAAUAAGAAGGCAAUAAAAGGGCAUUGGUUUUAUGCAAUAUUGCCUUCUUAUUGCCCUUUUAUUGUGUGACUAUCGCUGCUCUAUUGCAGUCUUAGCACUUUUUUUUUUUCUUCAUGUCUAUCUUGGCAAACAAAUUGUAGUUAGACUAUGAAUUCUUUGUAUUGCCUCUUUAUUCCACUGCCCUUGUAUUGCACCACAGUUCAAUUAAAUUUUCUAGCCACCUACUUUACAUUUC